GAGGAAGUAGACAACAUCUUUAAAUAAGCAAACAAAAUUAGAGUCUAUUUUUUAAAACCGCAUCUAAUAAUAACAAUAGCUUCUGUGGUGUUUUCUGCCAAAGAAAGGAGGAAAAACCAUUGCAUAUGGUAUCAAUAAGAACAAAGAUUAUGAAAUAAGAAGUUGGGUUGAGUUUGACCAAAGCACAUCAUAAUAUGUAUGCACAGGCAUGUCACAAUAGAACCCAAUGGAGGGGUUAAAAUUCACUAAGAAAGAAUAAACUUCACUUUAAUUCUUUUCAGAGCA